rnacentral:rRNA from 1 species
CCUACGGGGGGCAGCAGUGAGGAAUAUUGGUCAAUGGACGAGAGUCUGAACCAGCCAAGUAGCGUGAAGGAUGACUGCCCUAUGGGUUGUAAACUUCUUUUAUAUGGGAAUAAAAUGUUCCACGUGUGGGAUUUUGUAUGUACCAUAUGAAUAAGGAUCGGCUAACUCCGUGCCAGCAGCCGCGGUAAUACGGAGGAUCCGAGCGUUAUCCGGAUUUAUUGGGUUUAAAGGGAGCGUAGGUGGAUUGUUAAGUCAGUUGUGAAAGUUUACGGCUCAACCGUAAAAUUGCAGUUGAAACUGGCAGUCUUGAGUACAGUAGAGGUGGGCGGAAUUCGUGGUGUAGCGGUGAAAUGCUUAGAUAUCACGAAGAACUCCGAUUGCGAAGGCAGUUCACUGGACUGCAACUGACACUGAGGCUCGAAAGUGUGGGUAUCAAACAGGAUUAGAUACCCGGGUAGUC